rnacentral:rRNA from 1 species
GACGAACGCUGGCGGCGUGCCUAAUACAUGCAAGUCGAGCGGAGUCAUUUUGGAAGCUUGCUUCCAAAAUGACUUAGCGGCGGACGGGUGAGUAACACGUAGGUAACCUGCCUGUAAGACUGGGAUAACUACCGGAAACGGUAGCUAAUACCAGAUAAUUUGUUUCUUCUCAUGAAGAGAUACUGAAAGGCGGAGCAAUCUGCCACUUACAGAUGGGCCUGCGGCGCAUUAGCUAGUUGGUGAGGUAACGGCUCACCAAGGCGACGAUGCGUAGCCGACCUGAGAGGGUGAACGGCCACACUGGGACUGAGACACGGCCCAGACUCCUACGGGAGGCAGCAGUAGGGAAUCUUCCGCAAUGGACGAAAGUCUGACGGAGCAACGCCGCGUGAGUGAUGAAGGUUUUCGGAUCGUAAAGCUCUGUUGCCAGGGAAGAACGCUUGAGAGAGUAACUGCUCUCAAGGUGACGGUACCUGAGAAGAAAGCCCCGGCUAACUACGUGCCAGCCGCCGCCGUAAUAC